rnacentral:rRNA from 1 species
GGAUAACCUGGGGAAACCCAGGCUAAUACCGCAUACGUCCUACGGGAGAAAGGGGGCUCCGGCUCCCGCUAUUGGAUGAGCCUAUGUCGGAUUAGCUAGUUGGUGAGGUAAUGGCUCACCAAGGCAACGAUCCGUAGCUGGUCUGAGAGGAUGAUCAGCCACAUCGGGACUGAGACACGGCCCGAACUCCUACGGGAGGCAGCAGUGGGGAAUAUUGGACAAUGGGGGGAACCCUGAUCCAGCCAUGCCGCGUGUGUGAAGAAGGCCCUCGGGUUGUAAAGCACUUUCAGCGAGGAAGAACGCCUAGUGGUUAAUACCCAUUAGGAAAGACAUCACUCGCAGAAGAAGCACCGGCUAACUCCGUGCCAGCAGCCGCGGUAAUACGGAGGGUGCAAGCGUUAAUCGGAAUUACUGGGCGUAAAGCGCGCGUAGGUGGCUUGAUAAGCCGGUUGUGAAAGCCCCGGGCUCAACCUGGGAACGGCAUCCGGAACUGUCAGGCUAGAGUGCAGGAGAGGAAGGUAGAAUUCCCGGUGUAGCGGUGAAAUGCGUAGAGAUCGGGAGGAAUACCAGUGGCGAAGGCGGCCUUCUGGACUGACACUGACACUGAGGUGCGAAAGCGUGGGUAGCAAACAGGAUUAGAUACCCUGGUAGUCCACGCCGUAAACGAUGUCGACCAGCCGUUGGGUGCCUAGAGCACUUUGUGGCGAAGUUAACGCGAUAAGUCGACCGCCUGGGGAGUACGGCCGCAAGGUUAAAACUCAAAUGAAUUGACGGGGGCCCGCACAAGCGGUGGAGCAUGUGGUUUAAUUCGAUGCAACGCGAAGAACCUUACCUACCCUUGACAUCUACAGAAGCCGGAAGAGAUUCUGGUGUGCCUUCGGGAACUGUAAGACAGGUGCUGCAUGGCUGUCGUCAGCUCGUGUUGUGAAAUGUUGGGUUAAGUCCCGUAACGAGCGCAACCCUUGUCCUUAUUUGCCAGCGAGUAAUGUCGGGAACUCUAAGGAGACUGCCGGUGACAAACCGGAGGAAGGUGGGGACGACGUCAAGUCAUCAUGGCCCUUACGGGUAGGGCUACACACGUGCUACAAUGGCCGGUACAAAGGGCUGCGAGCUCGCGAGAGUCAGCGAAUCCCUUAAAGCCGGUCUCAGUCCGGAUCGGAGUCUGC